rnacentral:rRNA from 1 species
GACGAACGCUGGCGGCGUGCCUAAUACAUGCAAGUAGAACGCACAGUUUAUACCGUAGCUUGCUACACCAUAGACUGUGAGUUGCGAACGGGUGAGUAACGCGUAGGUAACCUGCCUGGUAGCGGGGGAUAACUAUUGGAAACGAUAGCUAAUACCGCAUAAUAUUAAUUAUUGCAUGAUAAUUAAUUGAAAGGUGCAAUUGCACCACUACCAGAUGGACCUGCGUUGUAUUAGCUAGUAGGUGAGGUAACGGCUCACCUAGGCGACGAUACAUAGCCGACCUGAGAGGGUGAUCGACCACACUGGGACUGAGACACGGCCCAGACUCCUACGGGAGGCAGCAGUAGGGAAUCUUCGGCAAUGGACGAAAGUCUGACCGAGCAACGCCGCGUGAGUGAAGAAGGUUUUCGGAUCGUAAAGCUCUGUUGUAAGAGAAGAACGGGUGUGAGAGUGGAAAGUUCACACUGUGACGGUAUCUUACCAGAAGGGGACGGCUAACUACGUG